AAAGGGAGACCUAAUUCGGGUAUAAGACGAAAAAAUAGUAGUCGAAACCAAGAAUCAAUCCCAAAAGGUCGGAGCGAGGCAUGAGGCUUUCAAACUAGGUUCUGGGUUCAUAAAAGACCUGAAUCAGGAACAAGGGCUAUUAGCUCAGGUGGUUAGAGCGCACCCCUGAUAAGGGUGAGGUCCCUGGUUCGAGUCCAGGAUGGCCCACCUGCACAGGUGGCAAAAACAAAGAAAAAAAGCUCCGAAUCAGCACCUUAUCUUACUUAUAUAGUAAGAGAGAAUGCUGGCUCUGAGUACAGAGUCCAGAGGAACCUUGAAAACUGCAUAGAGCUAGGUGAAAAAGCCAAAAAAGAAGACCGCAAG
rnacentral:tRNA from 1 species